UGGGUUACUGUAGCCUCGAAAGUACGCAAACACCACGAGGGCACCGGAUCCUACGACAA
rnacentral:sRNA from 1 species